GAUGAACGCUGGCGGCGUGCCUAAUACAUGCAAGUCGAGCGAACAGACGAGGAGCUUGCUCCUCUGACGUUAGCGGCGGACGGGUGAGUAACACGUGGAUAACCUACCUAUAAGACUGGGAUAACUUCGGGAAACCGGAGCUAAUACCGGAUAAUAUAUUGAACCGCAUGGUUCAAUAGUGAAAGACGGUUUUGCUGUCACUUAUAGAUGGAUCCGCGCCGCAUUAGCUAGUUGGUAAGGUAACGGCUUACCAAGGCAACGAUGCGUAGCCGACCUGAGAGGGUGAUCGGCCACACUGGAACUGAGACACGGUCCAGACUCCUACGGGAGGCAGCAGUAGGGAAACUUCCGCAAUGGGCGAAAGCCUGACGGAGCAACGCCGCGUGAGUGAUGAAGGUCUUCGGAUCGUAAAACUCUGUUAGUAGGGAAGAACAAAUGUGUAAGUAACUAUGCACGUCUUGACGGUACCUAAUCAGAAAGCCACGGCUAACUACGUG
rnacentral:rRNA from 1 species